CCAAUAGCGUAUAUUAAAGUUGUUGCAGUUAAAAAGCUCGUAGUUGAAUUUCGGGAUCAAUAUAUCGGUCGUGCCUUGGUACGUACUGGUAUCAUUGGUUUCUCCUUUCUGACGAACCAUGAUGUCAUUAAUUUGGUGUUAUGGGAAGUUAGGACUGUUACUUUGAAAAAAUUAGAGUGUUUAAAGCAGGCUUUGGCUUGAAUACAUUAGCAUGGAAUAAUGAAAUAGGACGUUUGAUUCUAUUUUGUUGGUUUCUAGGAUCGACGUAAUGAUUAAUAGGGAUAGUUGGGGGGAUUAGUAUUCAAUUGUCAGAGGUGAAAUUCUUGGAUUUAUUGAAGACUAACUACUGCGAAAGCAUUUGCCAAGGAUGUUUUCAUUAAUCAAGAACGAAAGUUAGGGGAUCGAAGACGAUCAGAUACCGUCGUAGUCUUAACCAUAAACUAUGCCGACUAGGGAUCGGAUGAUGUUAAUUUUUUAAUGACUCAUUCGGCGCCUUACG
rnacentral:misc_RNA from 1 species